GCAUCAGUAGUAUAGCGGUAGUAUACUCGCCCACCAAGAUGUUGAGAAAGCGAGUGGUCCGGGUUCAACUCCCGGCUGAUGCA